rnacentral:rRNA from 1 species
UACGGAGGGGACUAGCGUUGUUCGGAAUUACUGGGCGUAAAGCGCACGUAGGCGGAUUUGUAAGUCAGGGGUGAAAUCCCGGGGCUCAACCCCGGAACUGCCUUUGAUACUGCAAAUCUCGAGUCCGGAAGAGGUGAGUGGAAUUCCUAGUGUAGAGGUGAAAUUCGUAGAUAUUAGGAAGAACACCGGUGGCGAAGGCGGCUCACUGGCCCGCAACUGACACUGAGGAACGAAAGCUAGGGGAGCAAACAGC